AAGUCGUAACAAGGUUUCCGUAGGUGAACCUGCGGAAGGAUCAUUCACAAUGAGUGUUUAAUGGCACUCCAAAUCCAUUACCCACCUUGUGUGCAUUGUCGGGAGGACUCUUUUUCCCAAUCUUCUCUCUCACUCUCUCCUUUCUCCUCUUCCUCUCCCUCUCUCUCUCUUUGAGGGGAGAGAGGGGGGUUGUGGAGGGGGGAGGAGGGGAGAAGGGAGAGGGAAAGAGGGGAACUCCAUUUCAUUCAUACUCUGUUCUUCAGUAUCUGUCUACUUCAAUUGAGUAUAAAACUCGAAUACAACUUUCAACAACGGAUCUCUUGGCUCUC
rnacentral:misc_RNA from 1 species